rnacentral:rRNA from 1 species
GGUAUGUUAAGCUCUAUCAGCAGGGAAGAUAAUGACGGUACCUGACUAAGAAGCACCGGCUAAAUACGUGCCAGCAGCCGCGGUAAUACGUAUGGUGCAAGCGUUAUCCGGAUUUACUGGGUGUAAAGGGAGCGCAGGCGGUGCGGUAAGUCUGAUGUGAAAGCCCGGGGCUCAACCCCGGUACUGCAUUGGAAACUGUCGUACUAGAGUGUCGGAGGGGUAAGCGGAAUUCCUAGUGUAGCGGUGAAAUGCGUAGAUAUUAGGAGGAACACCAGUGGCGAAGGCGGCUUACUGGACGAUAACUGACGCUGAGGCUCGAAAGCGUGGGGAGCAAACAGGAUUAGAUACCCUGGUAGUUCACGCCGUAAA